rnacentral:rRNA from 1 species
UGGGGGAUAUUGCACAAUGGGCGCAAGCCUGAUGCAGCGACGCCGCGUGGGGGAUGAAGGCCUUCGGGUUGUAAACUUCUUUUGCUCUGAACAAGGCGCACUUUGGGGUGUGUUGAGUGUAGGGGUUGAUUAGCGCCGGCUAACUACGUGCCAGCAGCCGCGGUAAUACGUAGGGCGCGAGCGUUGUCCGGAAUUAUUGGGCGUAAAGGGCUUGUAGGUGGCUGGUUGCGUCUGUCGUGAAAGCUCAUGGCUUAACUGGGGGUUUGCGGUGGGUACGGGCUGGCUUGAGUGCAGUAGGGGAGGCUGGAAUUCCUGGUGUAGCGGAGGAAUGCGCAGAUAUCAGGAGGAAUACCGGUGGCGAAGGCGGGUCUCUGGGCUGUUACUGGCACUGAGGAGCGAAAGCAUGGGGAGCGAACAGG